AAAAUCUUCACUAAACAGGACAGAAUAUAUAUUACUAUCAAUUUACAAAGAAUUCCCAAAUAGCUCAAAAACAAUGAACAGGGCUAGAAUUGGGCAGCCAGGUAAGGUAAGGUUUGCUUUACAUGAUGCAUAUACUUCCAUUGAAACACGUUUUUUUUUUUUCUUUUUUUUAAACAGGCCUUUGAUGUAGUUUUGAGCAUUAUACAGUCAAAAAAUAAACAGGCAGUUCGAAAUAAACAAUUCGAUAGUCCCACAUGUAAAAGAUUUAUGAAUGAACAGAAUGUUCUUUUCUAUGCUAUUUCAGAUUCUGGGCAGUAGUCUCUGUGCCGAACAUCCCUGUAGGUCUGGUAGAAGGCAAACACAGAGAAGCCUAUCAAAUCAGAGAAAAUGAGCUUAAAAUACUUCCACCCUGGACUUCAGACCACCCUUGUUCUCUUAGGUCCCACAGCAGAAGCUGCCUUGCCUUUGGCCUGGGGCAGGGAUUAGGAGUAGGAGGAUGAGAACCCUUUGGCCUCAGCCUACCAUCUCUAAAAUGUCUCAUAUUUACACUUUCAAAAUCCCAAUGGUGUCCAAAUGAAGUUGAACCACAAACGGACUGAAGGAAGAAAAUUUUCAUUACACUGCUUUCAACGUAUCAUUUCCAAUUACAACUGCUUAGAAUUUAAAAAAAAAAAUUGGUAUUUUUUGAACUCCUGAAAUCUUACAAAUAACAUUAUAUUGCUCUAUGCACCGGGUUUGUACGUAUUAAACGCGUUAAUUUGUAGGACAUAACACACUCUUCCUUCAAGCGCUGCAUUUUUCUUUUCUUUUUCUGUUAAUCAGGGAGGUCAUUCCAAGCGGCCUUGCCUCUCCCAGAACUGAUAGGUCUUACCGUGGCCCUAGGCCAAGGCCAGUUUCCCUGGCAAAUCGCUAGAGAAGACAUCUGUUUGCCGAAGCCUCUUUUAAAAGUCCUUUGAGUGCACGGCCGGUGACACCCGAGGGGCAGCACCCCCACCCUUCCGGAUCAGGAGGGUGGGCGGCCGGGCGCAGGGGGUCACAAUGGCCCGCGUGGCUCCACUGGGCGGCGGCUGCCAGGACAUUUCUCCAGCCUAUGCUGUUGCUGAACUGGUUGUCUGGAAAAACUGUGACAAAGAAGAUUUCAGAUUAGAGGGCUACCCAUUGGUCCAAGGACUGCCCUGUCUACUUAUGGUCCCUGUUGCCAAGGUCUUGCCCAGCUGGACUUAAAUGCAACCACUGGUUGCACCUGCAGCAUACGCCACAGCCACAGCAAUCCCAG